AGAACGAACGCUGGCGGCAUGCCUAAUACAUGCAAGUCGAACGAACACUUCGGUGUUAGUGGCGCACGGGUGCGUAACGCGUGGGAAUCUGCCCUUGGGUUCGGAAUAACAGUUGGAAACGACUGCUAAUACCGGAUGAUAUCGAAAGAUCAAAGAUUUAUCGCCCAGGGAUGAGCCCGCGUAGGAUUAGCUAGUUGGUGAGGUAAGGCUCACCAAGGCGACGAUCCUUAGCUGGUCUGAGAGGAUAGAUCAGCCACACGUGGGACUGACGACACGGCCCAGCCU
rnacentral:rRNA from 1 species